rnacentral:rRNA from 1 species
CGAGCGAACAGACGAGGAGCUUGCUCCUCUGACGUUAGCGGCGGACGGGUGAGUAACACGUGGAUAACCUACCUAUAAGACUGGGAUAACUUCGGGAAACCGGAGCUAAUACCGGAUAAUAUAUCGAACCGCAUGGUUCAGUAGUGAAAGACGGUUUUGCUGUCACUUAUAGAUGGAUCCGCGCCGCAUUAGCUAGUUGGUAAGGUAACGGCUUACCAAGGCGACGAUGCGUAGCCGACCUGAGAGGGUGAUCGGCCACACUGGAACUGAGACACGGUCCAGACUCCUACGGGAGGCAGCAGUAGGGAAUCUUCCGCAAUGGGCGAAAGCCUGACGGAGCAACGCCGCGUGAGUGAUGAAGGUCUUCGGAUCGUAAAACUCUGUUAUUAGGGAAGAACAAAUGUGUAAGUAACUAUGCACGUCUUGACGGUACCUAAUCAGAAAGCCACGGCUAACUACGUGCCAGCAGCCGCGGUAAUACGUAGGUGGCAAGCGUUAUCCGGAAUUAUUGGGCGUAAAGCGCGCGUAGGCGGUUUUUUAAGUCUGAUGUGAAAGCCCACGGCUCAACCGUGGAGGGUCAUUGGAAACUGGAAAACUUGAGUGCAGAAGAGGAAAGUGGAAUUCCAUGUGUAGCGGUGAAAUGCGCAGAGAUAUGGAGGAACACCAGUGGCGAAGGCGACUUUCUGGUCUGUAACUGACGCUGAUGUGCGAAAGCGUGGGGAUCAAACAGGA